UUCAUCGUGAUAUCAUGAAAACACUCCUAAUCAAGAUAAAGCAUAACAUUCUCCUUUCCCUGCUUCAUCAAUCGGAUGAAAUAUGCGCGGGAAGUAUGGGAUUCGAUAGGAACAUAUGGUGACAUGCUCAUGGCGAUCAAGGAGCACGUGUUUGUAAUUGUUAGGUUUGGGCACCCGAGAUGUGCUAGUGUGCCUUUUUAUGAAUAAGAGAAUCAAGAUCUGACAAAUCACAGGAAGAAACGAAAAGGAAAAUGCCAGCAAGGAAAAA